UGGGGAAUAUUGGACAAUGGGCGAAAGCCUGAUCCAGCCAUGCCGCGUGUGUGAAGAAGGUCUUCGGAUUGUAAAGCACUUUAAGUUGGGAGGAAGGGCAGUAAGCGAAUACCUUGCUGUUUUGACGUUACCGACAGAAUAAGCACCGGCUAACUCUUUGCCAGCAGCCGCGGUAAUACAGAGGGUGCAAGCGUUAAUCGGAAUUACUGGGCGUAAAGCGCGCGUAGGUGGUUCGUUAAGUUGAAUGUGAAAGCCCCGGGCUCAAACUGGGAACUGCAUCCAAAACUGGCGAGCUAGAGUAGGGCAGAGGGUGGUGGAAUUUCCUGUGUAGCGGUGAAAUGCGUAGAUAUAGGAAGGAACACCAGUGGCGAAGGCGACCACCUGGGCUCAUACUGACACUGAGGUGCGAAAGCGUGGGGAGCAAACAGG
rnacentral:rRNA from 1 species